rnacentral:rRNA from 1 species
AGAGUUUGAUCCUGGCUCAGAACGAACGCUGGCGGCGUGCCUAACACAUGCAAGUCGAACGGGUACAUGUUCGGCACCGUGUGCAUUUUGCCUUUUUAAGGGGGGUGGAGUGGACAGGGUGCCGGACAUGUGCUAGUGGCGCACGGGUGAGUAACACGUAGGCAACCUACCUCAGGGCGGGGGAUAACAUCCGGAAACGGGUGCUAAUACCGCGUAAGCCCACGGAUUGGGAUAUCUGUGGGAAAAGGAGCAAUCCACCUUGAGAUGGGCCUGCGGCCUAUCAGGUAGUUGGCGGGGUAACGGCCCACCAAGCCAAAGACGGGUAGCCGGUCUGAGAGGAUGAACGGCCACACUGGAACUGAGACACGGUCCAGACUCCUACGGGAGGCAGCAGUGGGGAAUUUUGCGCAAUGGGCGAAAGCCUGACGCAGCAACGCCGCGUGAGUGAUGAAGGCUUUCGGGUCGUAAAGCUCUGUCGAGGGGAAAGAAAUGUAUUUGGGCUAAUACCCUUUAUACUUGACGGUACCCCUAAAGGAAGCACCGGCUAACUCCGUGCCAGCAGCCGCGGUAAUACGGGGGGUGCAAGCGUUGUUCGGAAUUAUUGGGCGUAAAGCGCGUGUAGGCGGUCUGAUUAGUCUGAUGUGAAAGCCCUGGGCUCAACCCAGGAAGUGCAUUGGAUACUGUCAGACUUGAAUACGGGAGAGGGUAGUGGAAUUCCUAGUGUAGGAGUGAAAUCCGUAGAUAUUAGGAGGAACACCGGUGGCGAAGGCGGCUACCUGGACCGAUAUUGACGCUGAGACGCGAAAGCGUGGGUAGCAAACAGGAUUAGAUACCCUGGUAGUCC